CAUGGGAGAAAGAGCAAAAAGAGAGCGGGGAGGGUGGGAGUCGGAGCAGAAAUGCUGCAAAAACAAAACAGCUUAAGCAUUUAGUCACUCUCGGCUUCGAAGAGAGAAAGGAACUGGAAGUGGGUCACUGUGUCUCAAAAAACAGAAAAUAGCAGCAGGACACGUAAGGGAAAACUGUCAAAGGAUUCAGCAUGUAGUCUACUGGAUUUGAAAUCUUCAAAUGGAAGAUAUGACCAGGCUCAGACACCAGAUCAGUUCAGAAUAAUUCUUCAGUGAGUCAGAAUAAGAACAAAAAUAAUAGUGGUGUUUGCAAAAGUGUUUCUCCCCACAGGAACGCUUUCAUCUUGUGUGACCAACAGCAGAUCUAUCAAGAUAUGGCUCCAGGAAGUAGACAUGCAGCUGAGGGAAACAAACACAUUGCAGUCAUGCACUGGGAACCGACGUUUCUGCUUGAGCUGGAGUUUCCUUUGCUGACUGGCUGGCAGCAGUCGGUGGUGCAACUCAGUCUGGUGCACUUGCUGUCCUGCUUUCUCGUGCUUCUCUGUUCCUCUCUGGGCUCCGAUGGUCCUUUGGGUUUCUCUGGUUUUUCUGACAGGCUGAAAUGAAAGCUUUGUGUCAGCAGCAGUGGCACACUGAAAAAAAGACGUCAAUGUCCCGUGAAGGGAAUCCACACCUGGCUCAAGGGAGGAACCGCACUGAAGAUGAAGGCCGAUUGUUAACUUACCAGUGUUCACAAUUUGUAGUCUGUUUUCUUGUCCCCCAUUUUUACCCCUCUUCACAACUACGUUGUUCAAUGCUUUAGUUACUCUAGCCAGACUUUAUUCUCAGUUAACACUGGAUAAUUCAUUGAUGGGUAGAUGCUUUAAAUGUGAUCUCAAUCGUGGGAUUUGUCUCAUUUCUCUUUGACAUGUUCUGUUUUUCCACCGUUCAGCUUUAUAAAGGCCUGUUGUUUGUGUCACUGCUGUGUGCAUAUUCAAGCACUUGCAUCAGAAAUAGACUGAGGGCGUGGUGUCCAAAAGCAGCAUACAUCACAUGUGCAGAUAUAUUACAGUAAGGAGCCACAAACAUUAUUGCUCUUCACUUUAUGCACGCUAUUCCAAAACAAACCAGUAGCACAAGGUCCCCUCUGUCAUUGCUCUUUACUGUUGGUGGUUAUGGAUUUCUCCUCAAUAUAUUUUUGAAUUUGUUAAUACAUCUUAUGUUGUAAGAGAAAUAACACAAGCAUACUUAGCAAUGCAAAUGCUUCUGAAUUUAAUCCUUUUAAACCUGCAAGUAAACGAAAAUAUCUCAACCUGUUUUCGGAUUGAAACAUACCACGUUUUGUUUGCGCUCUUUGGCCGUGAAACCCCGAUGUGCAGCUUUAGAUAUCCGGCCGCAGCGUCAGGUAACCUGAUGCAAGUCUUCUCAUACGAUGUUUUGAAUGUUUCACUCAACAGCAUGAUAAUCAAGUUAGUGUUAUUCUCGUAUGUGUGUGUGUGUGUGUGUGUGUGAGACAAGGUCUCCACUACCCUCAUUAAGUUAACUACGGUUGACUCGCCCAAACUUGUCGUGAACCUCUCUUUGGCCUGUGGUUCCACACUGUGAGUCUGUGUGUGUGUGCGCGUGCUGAGGGUCUGUCAGUUUAAUCGGCUGUCAAAGAGAGGAACAGGAAAGCAGGGGUGCAAAACAUGCUGUCAGUCAUGUGUGCUCGCCAUUAAAACCAUGUUUGUCUCAAAACAGUACUUUCAUGCAGCAAACAAAAUGAAACCAUCGGGUAGUGAAAUGAAGCCUGUUGGUGUCUGUGACAGCAGAGCAUUACUGCCAGCUCAUUGUUUAGGAGUCAGGGUGUGCUUUCUUUCCAAUAAACAGUGACUCAUAUUGG